rnacentral:rRNA from 1 species
GACGAACGCUGGCGGCGUGCUUAAUACAUGCAAGUCAACUUGACUUUAGAUAGCAAUAUCGAAAGUAGGGUGGCGCACGGGUGCGUAACGCGUAGGUAAUCUGCCCUGAGGUCUGACAUAACCCGUCGAAAGGCGGGCUAACAUCAGAUGAUAUAUAAUCACGACAUCGUGGAAAUAUCAAAUCUUCGGAGCCUUGGGAUGAGCCCUGCGUCUGAUUAGGUAGUUGGCGGAGUAAUAGCCCACCAAGCCUACGAUCAGUAGCUGGUCUGAGAGGAUGAUCAGCCACACUGGAACUGAGACACGGUCCAGACUCCUACGGGAGGCAGCAGU